CNGGUGUAGCGGUGGAAUGCGCAGAUAUCAGGAGGAACACCGAUGGCGAAGGCAGGUNUCUGGGCUGUAACUGACGCUGAGAAGCGAAAGCAUGGGGAGCGAACAGGAUUAGAUACCCUGGUAGUCCAUGCCGUAAACGUUGGGCACUAGGUGUGGGGGACAUUCCACGUUUUCCGCGCCGUAGCUAACGCAUUAAGUGCCCCGCNUGGGGAGUACGGCCGCAAGGCUAAAACUCAAAGAAAUUGACGGGGGCCCGCACAAGCGGCGGAGCAUGCGGAUUAAUUCGAUGCAACGCGAAGAACCUUACCAAGGCUUGACAUAUACUGGACUGCGUCAGAGAUGGCGUUUCCCUUCGGGGCUGGUAUACAGGUGGUGCAUGGUUGUCGUCAGCUCGCGUCGUGAGAUGUUGGGUUAAGUCCCGCAACGAGCGCAACCCUCGUUCUAUGUUGCCAGCACGUGAUGGUGGGGACUCAUAGGAGACUGCCGGGGUCAACUCGGAGGAAGGUGGGGAUGACGUCGAAUCAUCAUGCCCCUUAUGUCUUGGGCUUCACGCAUGCUACAAUGGCCGGUACAGAGGGUUGCGAUACUGUGAGGUGGAGCUAAUCCCUAAAAGCCGGUCUCAGUUCGGAUUGGGGUCUGCAACUCGACCCCAUGAAGUCGGAGUCGCUAGUAAUCGCAGAUCAGCAACGCUGCGGUGAAUACGUUCCCGGGCCUUGUACACACCGCCCGUCAAGUCACGAGAGUUGGUAACACCCGAAGCCGGUGGCCUAACCCUGGUGGGGGGAGCCG
rnacentral:rRNA from 1 species